CUGUAUAUUUUUUAAGCCCCCAGAAGGAGAAACAGAGAAGAUGGCAGAUGAGCGACUAAGGGAGAAAGAGACCCCCACCCGCCCAGCAGGAGGGAAAGGUAAGGGGGUUUGGACACACUCUCUGCAAGCUGCAUCCCCAAGUUGUCGACCUUGCGAUUAGCGCCUUGUGGAAGGUGGGAGCACUGGGACCUCCUCGUACACAGGAUUCGUGUCGUAGGUCCUGCAGUGGUCACACAUGGGUGACUGCUAGGGGGGAACUCGCCCUCAUUUAGUAAACCGGAGGCAUGUCACGUCCCCCUUGUUUUUAAAGGACACCAGGCUUGAGAGUGCAAUGGGCAGCUACAUUCUUUUCUAUUUUUAGGGGGUUGUGCAAUUCAUUGCCAGCCAACUCCACUUCUGUUUUGUGUAUUGUUGCAGGUCCCUGAAGGGCUGCUGGAGAACGAAUGGAAGCAGGAAAAGAAAGCUUGGGAACAGCAAGCGUGGGUUGGGGUGGGCAGGAGGGAGCGAAAUGUUUAAUGUCUGCUUAGAUAGGUACAGAUGGAGACUGUUGUGUGCUUCUCUACACUUUCAAACACUCAUUAGGAGCAUGCAGCCACACGCUUCAAGUUGCACCGUGCAUUCGGUCUUGGGUUGGCCCGAGUUGUGUUUGAUGAGGUUGAGGCUUUGUGCUAGUUGUGUGUAUUGAUAUGCAGCAGUCAAGGGUUUUGCAGGUUGUUCGGCUCUGCUAGUUAAGCAGUUGAUCAAAAUAGAUGUGUGAUUGAAGGCAGCGUGUAGGUUUUUGUUGGUUGGGCUGUGG